rnacentral:lncRNA from 1 species
UCCGCUGCCCAGAUUCAAUUCUGCUCUAAUCAGAGCGAUAGAAGCCUCCAGUGUGACGGCGACAGGGAUGACUCUGUUUCUGGCCAUUUCAGUGUGUCCCCCCCCCCCCCCCCGGCACUUCCCGGGACGCUGAGGCCUCUGGGCGCGCUCGGCUGGGCCGUGGGAAGACGGGGUCUGGAGGAGCUUCGGGGUCCGGGCUGCUCCCUGCAGAGCCCGGGCAGGCCUCGGAGCGGUGCUCGGGCGAGCUUGGGACGCGACGGCCACUAGUGUGGGAGGUCCCCUCCCCCCCGCGGGAGCCGCCCCGCUCCGCACCCUGCCAGGCCCGGGGGCCCGGGGUGGGGGAGCCCCCGGGGGCAGCACGCGGGGCUCGGGCGAGUCUGGGGCCGCAAGGUUGAGGGGCGACGGGGCCCCUCGCUGCUCCCGCGUUGUCCUGUCUCACCUGUGGCCUCGUGCUCGUCCUUCAGAACCGGCUCCGGGCGCCCCCCGGAGAGCCCAGCCACGGCGCCCUCUGCCAGGGAAAGGCGCCGGAUUCUCCUCCCCCGCUUCCUGCACAAGCCUGCCUCCUGCACGGAAGCCCCUUAGUUGGCUCUGAGCUCAGAUCUGAGCUUCUGGACGUUUCCAUCCCCUGCGGCCAGGGCCGCGCUCAGCCUUCCGAGGAGACCGAGGUAGACGCUAUUCCAGGGCGUCCCCCUGCAGGAGGCCCGGGAGGUCCUGGGCCGGCGGCUUCGCGUCGGGUGCUCACGGCCCGGGGCGCCGGGGACCUGCUGCCGCUGGUGGGUGGAGGGGACCCAGGCCGUUGCUUUGGGCGAGGAGUGGGCCCCCCUGUGUGCUGGCGGAGGCCCGGCCGGGGGUGACGGCGUGGGGCUGGCCCCUCGGGGCGCUGGGGGUCUCCCCGGCUGGGUGCGGCCUCAGGGAGAGCCUGGCGCUGAGGCCCCCGGGCUCAGGUUCCGUGUGCGGUGACGACGGAGGCUCGCUAGGCAGUGGGUCCUCAGCGGCUGUCGUCCCGUCCCUGUGGCACGUUGGACCCCCGCUCUCUGCGGGGACCCCGAUGUGGGACUCGACCCGGGGACCCCGGGGUUGCACCCUGGGCUCUCAGGUGAGGUCGCUUCGACUCCAGCCAGCUGGGUGCAUGCUUGUUGAGUGAAUGAAUG